UUUUUUUUUUUUUUUUUUUUGAGAUAACGUCCAUACAAACGUUACAAAGAAUUAAGCAUGUGUUUAUUUUCCAUUAUCAGCAACAGACCAGGUCUCCUUCCGAAAAGUCAAGAACUCCCUUUCUAUUUCUUUUUGGACAGGGAGUAGGUGGAGGGAUGGGUGGUGACUAGAAGAUGUGGAUAUGAAUAACCCCUUAACUGGUUUACAUUGUGGGUUUGUUCUGCAAAGUUUGUGCUUGCCAAUCAAUUGGUUUAUUUAGAGAGUAGGAAAUGUACAGAGAUGAAUACAUUUUCACAUCUUUAUUAGGCAGUUUAUCACUUUCCUGUCCAGAUAGAUUUUUCUCCCUAGCAAACACAUUUUUGAUAAAAAUAUAUUCAUUUUUCUGCUGAAAGAGAAGUUGACUCUGCUAGUACAACAACAACAAAAAUUAGUGUAAUGUUUAGUAAAUUUACUCUAUAUAACAUUCAAUAUAUGUAAUGCUAACUGACAUUUUGAAAAUACUCUUGGGCUCACAAGAUUGCUCAUCAGAGAAAGGUGCUUGCCACACAAGCAUGAAGACCAGAAGUAGCCAAGAGUCCACAUAAAUGCAAGAAAAAAAUACCUCAUAUCCUUGCCUUCCACUUAGUGUACAUACAUACAAAAGGAGAAUAGUUUUUAAAGUCACUCUUAAUAUUCCAUAUCUGCGUCUUGUAUUUUGGCGUUUUACAUCAUUCAGUUUAACCUCCUUUUUGAAUGUUUGGAUAAUGAGCCCUGGGAAGAUAUUACAUACCCUUCUGUCUCAGUACCUAGCCUGGUAUCUAAUAUUAGCUGCCAACUGAAUGAUUAUCAUGGAAGUAAACUUUCAACUUAAGGCUAACCCAUACAUACCACAUGACCCAUACUACAUGACCCAUACCAAGUCUUCUUUAAUUCCUCAGCACACUGCAGUGCUUUGUACAUGGUAGAUGCUGUUUAGAUUAUUCCUGUUUUAGAAGAAUAAAUUAAUCUUAUAAAGCUUCAUCAGUAUACCAGAAAUCAUUCUGACUGUACACAGUUUCCUGUUAUCAUUGGUAUCUUCUUAAUUCCCUUUUACUGGUAAAAAGAAAAAUGUUGCGAAGAAGCAUAUGUAGGCUUGUGUAGUGUGUGCUAGCAUUUUGAUGAGUAAAAUCUACCAAUGGUGUUUCUUAGUUUCUAAGUAGCCUAGUUUACCUGCCCAAGUUUGUGUAAGUGUACUCUGAUAUUUGUACAGUGGUGAAGAGCUGUCCUCGAAUUCUCAGAGUAUAUUGCCUUUGUUAAGAGACUCGUGACUGUACCUGUAUUUUAAGAAAGUAGGAAAAAUGGAAAGGAUGGUCUUUGGGGAAUUAUUUUAACAAAAAUACUUUAAGCAAAAGAGCUACAUAAAAGUAUAUAAUAUGCUGUGUGCUGCUCUCUAUGAGGGAGCUACUCUUGAAUGUUGAAAGCUGUUAAUGAAAUUCCCUAUUUACAUGGUCUAUGAAAGAGGGAAAUGGGAUAACAUACAAAACAAAGGGCUUCUUUUUACUCUGUUGCUCAGUGUUGUUCUAAUAAGUCUUAAUUGGAAGGUGACUCCCUAAUUCUAGUUAUCUCACUUACAAAUGAGCAUUCAAAUCAUCUGAGCAAACUGGGCCCACCAUGAUGCAAUACGGUCAGGACGUAAACCCACUGAGAAGUGGGUAGUUGAACAGUGCCAGCACUGUCAGAAGCCUGACAGGACAAGGCCCCCAAAAUGUAAGGGAAGUCGAGUGUUUUCUAGUGAUGUGAGAUUGAGGACAUUAUGUCAAGCUUUCUGUUAUCACCUAUAAAGUGAUGAAAAAUAAGUUGUGUGGAAUAUAAAGGACUAAGCGAGUAGAGAGUGAGUGAUCUGCUCAUCUCCUUAUCUGCUUGCUUCCUUGUUAGUGGAACACUGGCCUUCACAAUGUGUUUUUACCAAACAGUGAAGCUUUUAUAUAUAUAAAAUCUCCAGUGGUAACAGUUACUAUAUAGUAUAUAUGAAAACGUUUUUUAAUGGCACAUUUUAAAAUGCAUAUUACACUUUAUUUGUGUGUAUCAUCUACAUUAAUGAGACUUUUAGAAAUAAAUUAAUUUUACUCAGUCAA
rnacentral:lncRNA from 1 species